UACAGAGACCUCAAGCGUUAUCCGGAUUUAUUGGGCGUAAAGAGUGCGCAGGUGGUCUAGUAAGUCGAUGGUCAAAUCCCGGGGCUCAACUCCGGAACCGCCAUCGAUACUGUUAGACUUGAGGAUGGGAGAGGCAAGCGGAAUUACCGGUGUAGGGGUAAAAUCCGUUGAUAUCGGUAGGAACACCAAAUGCGAAGGCAGCUUGCUGGAACAUUCCUGACACUGGUGCACGAAAGCGUGGGGAGCGAAGAGG
rnacentral:misc_RNA from 1 species